AACGAACGCUGGCGGCAGGCUUAACACAUGCAAGUCGAGCGCCCCGCAAGGGGAGCGGCAGACGGGUGAGUAACGCGUGGGAAUCUACCCAACUCUACGGAAUAACUCAGGGAAACUUGUGCUAAUACCGUAUACGCCCUUCGGGGAAAGAUUUAUCGGAGAUGGAUGAGCCCGCGUUGGAUUAGCUAGUUGGUGGGGUA
rnacentral:rRNA from 1 species